UUACCAGCACGUUAUGGUGGGCACUCUAAGGAGGACUGCCGGGUGGACAAACCGGAGGAAGGUGGGGAUGACGUCAAGUCAUCCAUGGCCCUUACGGCCUGGGCUACACACGUGCUACAAUGGUCGGUACAAAGGGUUGCCAAGCCGCGAGGUGGAGCUAAUCCCAUAAACCGAUCGUAGUCCGGAUCGCAGUCUGCAACUCGACUGCGUGAAGUCGGAAUCGCUAGUAAUCGUGAAUCAGAAUGUCACGGUGAAUACGUUCCCGGGCCUU
rnacentral:rRNA from 1 species